rnacentral:rRNA from 1 species
CGUGUAGGCGGUCUUUUAAGUCUGAUGUGAAAGCCCCGGGCUCAACCUGGGAAGUGCAUUGGAAACUGGGAGACUUGAGUACGGGAGGGGAGGGUGGAAUUCCUAGUGUAGGAGUGAAAUCCGUAGAUAUUAGGAGGAACACCGGUGGCGAAGGCGGCUCUCUGGACCGAUACUGACGCUGAGACGCGAAAGCGUGGGUAGCAAACA